rnacentral:misc_RNA from 1 species
GAUGAAGAACGCAGCGAAAUGCGAUAAGUAAUGUGAAUUGCAGAAUUCAGUGAAUCAUCGAAUCUUUGAACGCACAUUGCGCCCGCCAGUAUUCUGGCGGGCAUACCUGUUCGAGCGUCAUUACAACCCUCAGGCCCCCGGGCCUGGCGUUGGGGAUCGGCGGAAGCCCCCUGCGGGCACAACGCCGUCCCCCAAAUACAGUGGCGGUCCCGCCGCAGCUUCCAUUGCGUAGUAGCUAACACCUCGCAACUGGAGAGCGGCGCGGCCACGCCGUAAAACACCCAACUUCUGAAUGUUGACCUCGAAUCAGGUAGGAAUACCCGCUGAACUUAAGCAUAUCAAUAAGCGGAGGA